AUGUGGACCGAACUGCCAAAAAGUUUGCUGGCACGUGACUUCUACCUCAGCCUUAGAACAGGAUGUCACAGGAUGUCACCGGGCCCUCUGAAAACACAGAUCGCCGCGAGCAGGCCUCCUCGCAGGGCGCCCCGCAGGGCCCAGGCAGCGUCCGCGCGCAGGGAGGGCCUCCUGCCCGCCUGUGGCCUUUCCUCCCGCUGGGCCCGGGGGACGGGCUCCCCGGAGGCUGGGGCCUUGCCGGGUCUCCAACGUCUUUGGAGAAUUCCUAGCCCCUCGGGCCCGGACGCCUGCGGACGCCCGGGACUCGGGCACGCGGCACUGCCACCACCUGAGCCAGUGGCCAAGGCUCCCCGGAGGCUGGGGCCUUGCCGGGUCUCCAACGUCUUCGGAGAAUUCCUAGCCCCUCGGGCCCGGACGCCUGCGGACGCCCGGGACUUGGGCACGCGGCACUGCCACCACCUGAGCCAGUGGCCACCCCAUCCCCGUCAGCACCCCACCCCCUCGCCGGCCUCCAGGACGCGGCAGGACAUCUCCGGGGCCGUCCACCAGAUGGCAGCGAAGGCUCCCCGAUGUGGAGGCCCUGCCCACCCGGCGGGCGGCGCCCCGAGGCCCCCCGCGGACCAGGAGGCGGGGUCGGGCACCUGCGGGCACACACCCAGAGCCCCCUGGGGCCCACCUCAGACGGGGCCACGCAGUCCGGCAAAGCCCCCGCGGGGUGUCCUGGGACUGAACCCCCCGCCCCCCCCCCGGGCUGACCACCGUGUCCCAACAGCCCCCCGCAAAUUACCAGCCCAACUUCCGGCUGAGAUCCCACCUGGGCUCUCCAACCAGGAGCCCGUGGCGCCCAGGAGUCUCGGCUUUGACUCUCCCGGUGCAGAAUCGAGGUCGCGGACCUUUCCCAGCAGGAACUCCAGGAGCCAAAGAAUGAGGCAAAAUUCCUACGAGCGACACUGCAGCCCCCGGCGCCCGCGGCGGAGCAAGUCUCCAGGUCUGGGUGCGGGUGAGCAGCCCAGCCGCCAGGGCUCCCCUGGGGCCUCGCUUCUGUCCCCACAGAGCCUCAUCCUGCGGAGGCCGCGGUUGGCCGGGGGUUAA
rnacentral:lncRNA from 1 species